AUGGUGGACGCGGUGGAUGCUCGUCGGGUGUGCGGGAUGCCGGAGAAGGCGCAGCUCCACGUGGUGAUGCUGGCGCUGCAGUUCGGGUACGCCGGCUUCCACGUGGUCUAUUUGCCCCUCAACAUGGGCAUCGGCAAGCUCGUCUUCCCCGUGUACCGCAACAUCAUCACGCUCAUCCUCCUCGUCCCCUUCGCCUACUUCCUCGAGAAGAAGGACCGGCCCAAGCUCACCCUCAACUUCGGCUUCUACCUGCUGGGCCUGGACAACACGUCGCCGACGUUCGCCCCCGCCAUCCAGAACUCCGUGCUGGCCAUCACCUUCACCAUGGCCGCCGCGCUCCGAAUCGAGAAGGUAGUGGGCACGCUGGCGUGCGUGGCGGGCGCAUCGGUGAUCACGUUAUAUAAGGGCCCAACCAUCUUCGGCCCUGUGCCGUUUCUGGCAGCGGUGGCCGGGGAGGGGAAGAACUGGACGCUGGGGUGCGUGUACCUGAUCGGGCACUGCCUGUCGUGGUCCGGAUGGCUGGUGCUGCAGGCACCGGUGCUCAAGAAGUACCCCGCGAGGUUGUCAGUCACCUCCUACACCUGCUUCUUCGGUGUCAUCCAGUUCCUCGUCAUCGCCGCCUUCUUCGAGAGGGACGUCGACGCGUGGGUUUUCCACUCCGGCUCCGAAAUCUUCACCAUCCUCUACGCCCUAGCAGCUGACAUGGCAAAUGAAAACGGUAAUGCGGGCUUCAUCGCGUCCGGCGUGGCGUUCGCAGUGCAGAUCUGUUGCAUCGACCGCGGGGGCCCGGUGUUCGUGGCGGUGUACCAGCCCGUGCAGACGCUCGUCGUCGCCAUCAUGGCCUCCAUCACCCUCGGCGAGAAGUUCUACCUCGGCAGCGAGGAGAGGUCGCGCAACGGCAAGGAAGCGGCGGCCAUGGCCGUGGCGUCCGCAGCUUUCUCUGGCGGCGAGCGCGAGGUCCGGAGCGCCAAGCUGGGCUCCUCCAUCACCCAGCCUCUCCUGCCGCCUUCCUCAACUACCUCCGACAACGUCUGA
rnacentral:rRNA from 1 species